rnacentral:rRNA from 1 species
UACGAAGGGGACUAGCGUUGUUCGGAAUCACUGGGCGUAAAGCGCACGUAGGCGGAUAUGUCAGUCAGGGGUGAAAUCCCGGGGCUCAACCUCGGAACUGCCUUUGAUACAGCAUGUCUUGAGUCCGAUAGAGGUGGGCGGAAUUCCUAGUGUAGAGGUGAAAUGCGUAGAUAUCGGGAGGAACACCAGUGGCGAAGGCGACUUCCUGGCCUGUUCUUGACGCUGAGGCGCGAAAGCUAGGGGAGCAAACGGG